ACUCUUCCCACGUGAUUCUCCAUUGUGUCAAGGUGACGUAUCUUUUCUUUCCAGUUUAAUACCUAAGGUGUCCUCUAUCUGAGCAUCAUAUGUUAAAUGGAUGUUUGGAGUUGGGAGAUUGAAUAGGAACUUCUUCUGUCUACUCCAUGCCUGAUUUGGUCUUGUGGUACCAAGAAUGGUAUACCCCUU